GAAAUUCGCCUUCAUGAAGCUGGAAUUGCUAGUAAUGGCAGGUCAGCAUACUGCCGUGAAUACGUUCCCGGGCCUUGUACACACCGCCCGUCACACCAUGAGAGUCGGGAACACCCGAAGUCCGUAGCCUAACCAAUCUGGAGGGCGCGGCCGAAGGUGGGUUCGAUAAUUGGGGUGAAGUCGUAACAAGGUAGC
rnacentral:rRNA from 1 species